UACGGAGGGUGCAAGCGUUGUUCGGAUUUACUGGGCGUAAAGCGCGCGCAGGCGGAUUAAUAAGUCAGAUGUGAAAUCCCGGGGCUCAACCCCGGAACUGCGUCUGAAACUAUCAAUCUAGAGUCUCAGAGGGGGUAGGGGAAUUUCACGUGUAGGGGUAAAAUCCGUAGAGAUGUGAAGGAACACCGGUGGCGAAGGCGCCUACCUGGAUGAGCACUGACGCUGAGGCGCGAAAGCGUGGGGAGCAAACAGG
rnacentral:misc_RNA from 1 species